AUUGAACGCUGGCGGCAGGCCUAACACAUGCAAGUCGAACGAGUGGCGGACGGGUGUGUAAUGUCUGGGAAACUGCCUGAUGGAGGGGGAUACCUACUGGAAACGGUAGCUAAUACCGCAUACCUUCCGAUGUGCCCAGAUGGGCUUAGCUAGUUGGUGGGGUAACGGCUUACCACGGCGACGAUCCCUAGCUGGUCUGAGAGGAUGACCAGCCAAACUGGAACUGAGACACGGUCCAGACUCCUACGGGAGGCAGCAGUGGGGAAUAUUGCGCAAUGGGCGCAAGCCUGAGGCAGCCAUGCCGCGUGUGUGAAGAAGGCCUUCGGGUUGUAAAGUACUGUCAGCGGGGAGGCGUUACCCGCUGAGGAAGCACCGGCUAACUCCGUGCCAGCCGCCGCGGUAAUUC
rnacentral:rRNA from 1 species